rnacentral:rRNA from 1 species
UACGGGGGGGGCAAGCGUUGUUCGGAAUUACUGGGCGUAAAGGGCGCGUAGGCGGCCUGUUAAGUCGAACGUGAAAUCCCCGGGCUCAACCCGGGAACUGCGUCCGAUACUGGCAGGCUUGAAUCCGGGAGAGGGAUGCGGAAUUCCAGGUGUAGCGGUGAAAUGCGUAGAUAUCUGGAGGAACACCGGUGGCGAAGGCGGGUCUCUGGACAGUUCCUGACGCUGAGGCACGAAGGCCAGGGGAGCAAACGGG